rnacentral:pre_miRNA from 1 species
CGGGGGAGGCCGGAUCCUGGGCUGUGUCCCGGUGCCUACACUGUUGGAUUGGCGCUCCCGCCCCGCAGCCCCCU